UGUUAGAAAACGAACAUUCGUAUUUAGUUUCGACCUAAAUUAUGGUUAAUUUUAACCUCUAUCAA
rnacentral:tRNA from 1 species